rnacentral:rRNA from 1 species
GAUGAACGCUGGCGGCGUGCCUAAUACAUGCAAGUCGAGCGAACAGGCGAGGAGCUUGCUCCUCUGACGUUAGCGGCGGACGGGUGAGUAACACGUGGAUAACCUACCUAUAAGACUGGGAUAACUUCGGGAAACCGGAGCUAAUACCGGAUAAUAUAUUGAACCGCAUGGUUCAAUAGUGAAAGACGGUUUUGCUGUCACUUAUAGAUGGAUCCGCGCCGCAUUAGCUAGUUGGUAAGGUAACGGCUUACCAAGGCAACGAUGCGUAGCCGACCUGAGAGGGUGAUCGGCCACACUGGAACUGAGACACGGUCCAGACUCCUACGGGAGGCAGCAGUAGGGAAUCUUCCGCAAAGGGCGAAAGCCUGACGGAGCAACGCCGCGGGAGUGAUGAAGGUCUUCGGAUCGUAAAACUCUGUUAUUAGGGAAGAACAAAUGUGUAAGUAACUAUGCACGUCUUGACGGUACCUAAUCAGAAAGCCACGGCUAACUACGUG